UACGAAGGGGGCUAGCGUUGCUCGGAAUCACUGGGCGUAAAGCGCACGGUAGGCGGACUCUUAAGUCAGGGGUGAAAUCCUGGAGCUCAACUCCAGAACUGCCUUUGAUACUGGGAGUCUUGAGUUCGGGAGAGGUGAGUGGAACUGCGAGUGUAGAGGUGAAAUUCGUAGAUAUUCGCAAGAACACCAGUGGCGAAGGCGGCUCACUGGCCCGAUACUGACGCUGAGGUGCGAAAGCGUGGGGAGC
rnacentral:rRNA from 1 species